rnacentral:rRNA from 1 species
UACGUAGGGGGCGAGCGUUGUCCGGAUUUAUUGGGCGUAAAGAGCGUGUAGGCGGCCAGGUAGGUCUGCUGUGAAAACUCGAGGCUUAACCUCGAGCUGUCGGCGGAAACCAUCUGGCUAGAGUCCGGAAGAGGAGAAUGGAAUUCCUGGUGUAGCGGUGAAAUGCGCAGAUAUCAGGAAGAACACCCGUGGCGAAGGCGGUUCUCUGGGACGGUACUGACGCUGAGACGCGAAAGCGUGGGGAGCGAACAGG